AGUGAACGCUGGCGGUAGGCCUAACACAUGCAAGUCGAACGGCAGCACAGGAGAGCUUGCUCUCUGGGUGGCGAGUGGCGGACGGGUGAGGAAUACAUCGGAAUCUACUCUGUCGUGGGGGAUAACGUAGGGAAACUUACGCUAAUACCGCAUACGACCUACGGGUGAAAGCAGGGGACCUUCGGGCCUUGCGCGAUUGAAUGAGCCGAUGUCGGAUUAGCUAGUUGGCGGGGUAAAGGCCCACCAAGGCGACGAUCCGUAGCUGGUCUGAGAGGAUGAUCAGCCACACUGGAACUGAGACACGGUCCGGACUCCUACGGGAGGCAGCAGUGGGGAAUAUUGGACAAUGGGCGCAAGCCUGAUCCAGUCAUACCGCGUGGGUGAAGAAGGCCUUCGGGUUGUAAAGCCCUUUUGUUGGGAAAGAAAUCCAGCUGGCUAAUACCCGGUUGGGAUGACGGUACCCAAAGAAUAAGCACCGGCUAACUUCGUGCCAGCCGCCGCCGUAA
rnacentral:rRNA from 1 species